AUCACAAUGCCCCCUCCCAUGGUAGGGGGGAUCACAAUGGUCGUGGGCAGGGCCAGAACUUACGCAGCACACGCCCUGGACCUGACUCUGUGCUAAGCAUAUCACAGGCCUGACUGCAUUUAGUUAACUGCCAAACCACUGUCCUGAUUCUUCAGAUGAGGAAACGGAGGCUUAGGGCGACAAAGUCACAUCAUUAUUAAGUCGCAGUCAGGGUACAAACCCAGGUCUGUCUGCCUGGGCCUGCAACAACUAUUAGAUUUUGCCCUUCGAUGAAAUGAGGCCUCAGCACUCCUUCCCGCACCUGCUGCUCAGCCUCAACACGGACUCACAAUUAACUGAUGCUGCCAGUGGUGCAAGACAAGCCCGUCACUGCUUCUGCCCUUUCUGCUCCCCUCUCACGCCUCUUGGAAGAAGAGAUCCUCAUGUUCCGGCUGAGCAUGGAACAGGCCACACAAGGCCGGCCUUCUGAGCAGGGCUGCCAGGACCAGGGUGGAUGCUUCACAAAAAGACUGGUAGACAUCAUGACCAGCGCAGUUUGCUCUGAGUAAACUCCUCUCUGGAAGGCAUUUUCAGUUAGGAUGCUCCAGCCGAAAGUAAUGUAAGCUGAACGUAGUUGUAAAAAAUGUGCCUAGUAACGUUAUUUGAACAAAAUAAAAACCUACCCCACCAGUUCUCUCCA